rnacentral:lncRNA from 1 species
CCACACACAAUCCAAUAGACGUUUCUUCUCCAAAUCUCAAACGUUUUGAGUAAAACUUUAAAAAUCAUUCGAUGAUAUUUUCACGAUCUAGAAUAUAUUUAAUAAAAAGUUUUUAGUUUUUUUUUUUUUAAUUUAAAAUAUAAUAUUUGUAAAGACUAACUAGUAAAGUUCUUUUUUUUUUUUAAGCUCUGAAACCUUCAUUAUAAUGGUAUGGCAACGAUGUUCAAAUACAAGACAUAAAAACAUAACAAGAAAAAUGAAAAAACGAUGCCAAAGCUCUUAAUCUUGAUCGCCCCGUCGUUUGCCUCUUUCAACACGAUCCUGCAACCAAUAACACAAUACAAGAUAUUUACAUCAAGUUCUUUUAAUUAUGGUGUAGAUUUCAAGUUUC